rnacentral:rRNA from 1 species
AAUGAACGCUGGCGGCGUGCUUAACACAUGCAAGUCGAACGAGAAAGUCUUUGCUUGCAAAGGCGAGUAGAGUGGCGCACGGGUGAGUAACACGUAGAUAAUCUACCUUCAAGCCUGGAAUAACUAUUCGAAAGGAUAGCUAAUACCGGAUAAAGUUGAUUGACAGAAGUGAAUUAAUGAAAGACUGCCUAUCCUUGGAAGCAGUUGUUUGGAGAUGAGUUUGCGGACCAUUAGUUUGUUGGUGGGGUAAAGGCCUACCAAGACUACGAUGGUUAGCUGGUCUGAGAGGAUGAUCAGCCACACUGGAACUGGUACACGGUCCAGACUCCUACGGGAGGCAGCAGUGAGGGAUUUUGCGCAAUGGGGGAAACCCUGACGCAGCAACGCCGCGUGAGUGAAGAAGGCCCUUGGGUCGUAAAGCUCUGUCGA